UGGGCUGCCUGGAGGCGGGUUUGGCUUUCGCCUCAUCGCUUCUUCCGCAUUUAUUACAAACGGGCGGAUCGAAGCUGGAGUUUUAUUAUUACAGCUAGAACAGGGUGCACGCCUGUCGUGGAGCAUCGGGCUCUGGAGCUUCAGUAGUCAGAAUGUCACAGUGGUACCAGCUACAACAGUUAGACUCCAAAUUCCUCGAGCAGGUUGAUCAGCUCUAUGAUGACAACUUUCCAAUGGAGAUCAGGCAGUAUCUUGGACAGUGGCUGGAGACUAAAGACUGGGAACAUGCUGCCUCCAAUGAUUCGAUGGCCACAGUCUUGUUCCAUGAACUGCUGAUGCAGUUAGAUGACCAGUACAGUCGAUUUUCCCUGGAGAAUAAUUUUCUGCUUCAGCACAACAUCAGAAAAAUCAAACGUAACCUACAGGUUUUCUUCCAGGAAGAACCUAUUCUAAUGGCACUGACUAUAUCUAACUGCCUGAAAGAAGAAAAGAAAAUCCUGGAAAAUGCACUCAAAGCUGAACAGAAUCACAUUGGUCUUGUCCAGAAUGCUGUAAUUCAGGAUAAGCAGAAACAGCUGGAUCAGAAAGUGAAGAACAUAAAGAGCACUGUUCAGGUGAUUGAACAGGAAAUAAAGUCCCUUGAAGAUCUUCAGGAUGAAUUUGAUUUCAGAUCUAAAACUUUACAAAGUCGAGAACAUGAAGUGAAUGGUUUGGCUCAAAAUGAAAUUAAACAAGAAAAAGUCCAUCUCCACAAUAUGAUGCUUAAGUUGGAUUCGAAAAGAAAGGAUGUAAUCAAUAAAACUUCUUCUCUGCUGAAUGAGACAGAACAAAUUGAGGGUAUUUUGAUCAGUGAAGAAUUGGUGGAAUGGAAACGGAGACAACAGAUUGCAUGCAUCGGUGGACCACCGAACACCUGUCUUGACCAGCUGCAGCAAUGGUUCACAUUGCUGGCUGAGAGCUUGCAGCAGGUUCGGCAGCAGUUAAAGAAACUGGAAGAGCUUGAACAGAAAUAUUCAUAUGAUGGGGACCCCAUUACUCACAACAAACAAUUUUUGGAAGAAAGGAACAAUAAUUUGUUUCGCAAUCUUAUUAAAAGUUCCUUCGUGGUGGAGCGUCAGCCUUGCAUGCCAACUCACCCACAGAGACCAAUGGUCCUAAAAACUGGUGUGCAGUUUACUGUUAAGUUAAGGCUCUUGGUAAGGCUACCAGAACUAAAUUACCAACUGCGUGUAAAAGCAUCGUUUGACAAGGAUGUCACUGAAAAAUGUUCUGUAAAGGGAUUUAGAAAAUUUAAUAUACUAGGAACUAACACGAAAGUGAUGAACAUGGAAGAGUCAACGAAUGGAAGCCUAGCUGCUGAAUUCCGACAUCUGCAACUGAAGGAACAGAAAAAUGCAGGCAGCCGAACAACAGAACAGGGCCCCCUUAUUGUGACUGAGGAGCUUCACUGCAUCAGCUUUGAGACUCAGUUCUGUCAUCAGAAUCUGAUAAUUGAUCUAGAGAUUACAUCAUUGCCAUUGGUGGUGAUAUCCAAUGUUAGCCAGCUCCCCAGUGGUUGGGCUUCUAUUUUGUGGUACAACAUGCUCGUAAGCGAGGCUAAGAUCUUGGCUUUUUUCUCCAACCCCCCAGCUGCCACAUGGAGUCAGCUAUCUGAGGUACUGAGUUGGCAGUUCUCCUCUGUCACCAAGCGAGGUCUUAACGCUGAACAACUCGGCAUGCUGGGAGAGAAGUUGCUAGGUACAAAUAAUUGCUUCAAUGACAGUACUAUUCCAUGGACACGAUUCUGCAAGGAAAAUCUGAAUGAAAAGCCUUUCUCAUUCUGGCUGUGGAUUGAAGGUAUCUUAGAGUUGAUCAAAAAGCACCUUCUGCCUCUCUGGAAUGAUGGGUGGAUCAUGGGUUUUGUGAGUAAGGAAAAAGAACGUGCUUUGCUGAAGGGCAGACAGCCAGGGACAUUUUUACUGAGGUUCAGCGAGAGCAGUAGGGAAGGUGCCAUCACUUUCACCUGGGUCGAAAUAUCACUGAGUGAUGAGUCUCAAUUUCACUCGGUAGAGCCAUACACAAAGCAUCAACUGUCAGCGGUAACUUUCCCAGACAUCAUUCGCAAUUAUAAAGUUAUGGCAGCUGAAAAUAUUCCUGAAAAUCCAUUGAAGUAUUUGUAUCCUGAGGUCCCCAAAGAUCAGGCGUUUGGGAAGUAUUACUCCAGGCCAAAAGAUCCUGCAGAGCCUAUGGAUGUAGAUGACUCCAAGACCAGUGGUUAUAUAAAGACUGAACUAAUCUCAGUGUCUGAGGUUCACCCCUCUAGACUGCAGUCAACAGAAAAUCUUCUACCUAUGUCUGUGGAGGAUUUUGGUGAGUUGGAGCGUCACCUAAGUCCAUCAGAAAUUGACACAGUGUUUUGCAAUUAGCCAGUUUAUCCUCUGCUUGAUGCAUUUAAAAGUUCACUCUCAUUUUCCAGAUGUGCUCAGCCUAUCCAACUUAACCAAGAGUGCCCUUCACACCUAUGAUCUACGAACUGUAACAUCUGCAAUUUUAGGACAACAUUUGGAGUUUGGAAAUUGCUCUAAGUCCAAAACUGAUCAUGUUGCAUUGUAAAUAGUGACAUUUUUGGCAUAAAUGUUUCAAGAAUAAUGUAGUUACUGUCUGUAAUGUUUUAGUUACAUUUGGAGAAUUUUUGUAUGAUUUGCUUGAAUUGUGAAAUACUAACCAUUAAAUUUGGCUGUUCGAUUAAUGGGAAUGUUUUCCAAAGUAAACAAAUCAAAUUACACUUGUUUUCAAGACUUUCAGAUGGCUCUCGGGUUAGCAGCUCCUUAUAAACUCCUGCACUCCAUAGCUUUAUCCUGGGUUGCCCAUUGUCAUCCUUUGCCCUCUCUCUUCCUGGUCAUCAGUUUCAUUGCUGAACAUCCCCUGCUCUAACAGUAGGUGUGUUUUAACCCAUUACACAUCCAAACUGCAAGUUUAAAAGUUCCCUAUGCCAACUACCAAUCCAUUGUCCUGGCACCCAUGCUAGUUGAGAAUGCUAACCUUUCCACUUCCUCAACUACCAUCUCCCUCCCUUUCAAAUCAACCAUCAACUUGUCCUCAAAACACCUUGAUCCCUAUAUCCUUACAAACAAUGGCCCCAACCUCUUUCCUCUCAAAUAGUUGAACUUGUCACCUCUAAAAUUAAUGCCCAUCUUUUCUUCACUCUCUCCAGAGAACAUCCUGCAAAAGUUUUUCUCACUCCACACUAUUACAUGUAAAGUCCCUCAAGCAUAUUUCUCAGCAAGUCAUUGCAACUUCAUCAUCUAAAGUGAAAUCAGGUUCCAUGUGUAAACUGAUGCCACCUUUUACUGCUCAUUGGAUAUGCUAAAUUUCCUCCAAUCAUACAUUAGGAAGACUAAGUUCAUUGUCUUUGGCUCCUGCUACAAAUUCCAUUCCUUCACCGAUUCCAUUUCUCACACUUGCCACUGUUGGAGUGAAUGAGUCUGUUUAAAAACCCCAGCAUCCUAAUUUGACCCUGAGCUGAGCUUCUGAUCCCAUAUUGUCUCUAUCAUCAAGACCGACGAAUAGCACUUCUCUGCAAUAUCACACAUUGACAUCCUGCCUCAGUUUGUCUGCUACUGAAAAUCUCAUUCUUAUUUUGUGACCUCCAGACUUAAUUAUUCCAGUGCUCUCCUGCCUAGCUUCCUAGCUCCCAUCCUCCAUAAACUCAAGCUCAUACAAAACUCUACUAUUCAUAUUGUAACCCACACCAAGUCACACAUCCAUCAUCCUUGUGUUUGCUGAUUUAGAUUAGUUCCUGGUCCUCCAACACAACUUAAAAAUUCUUAGUCUUGUGUUCUGAUCCUUCAUGCCCUUUUGCCUCUUUAUAGCCACCUUCAACGCUCUUCGCUUCCUCCAAAUUGGAAAUCUUGUGCAUUCCCUAUUUCAACUGCUGGAUUUGUGCCCUUAACCUUCUAGGUCCUUAGCUCUAAAUUUCCCACCUACUCCUGCCCUUUUCCUUUAAAGCCCUCAACACAUUUUUACCCAAGUUUUGCGUCACCUGUCUGAAUAUCUCCUUUGGCUCAGUGUCAAAUUUGGACUGAUUAUGCUCCUGUGAAGUGGAAUGACAAGAAAAUUCCUCUUCAUUCCAUAUUUUUCUUCAGAGAUUUGAAGCAGCACCAAAAUACUUGUACGGAAAAGGCUCAAACUCUACUGCAAAUUGAUGACUUGCAUUAGCUGCCUACUGCACUUUGCCAAGAAUUGGUAAUGUAAAUUUAUGUUUGUAAAGUGAUAAUAAAGCAUAGCAUAUGAUACUGGGGAGUACUUUGAGGUUCCAUGGCACCAGGAGACAAAUUCAAAAAGCUCUGAUUGGCUGUCAAUUAUCUAGGUGAUAAUGGAUACAAAAUCCUAUGCCACAAGCAAAGAGGUGAGAAUAGUUUAAAAUAAACUGUCACUAUUAUUGGUUUGAAAGUGAAAGGGCAUUUUUUCCUCUUCCACAAGAGCCAUUUUGUUUACUGCCAUUCAUUAUCCAUAUACUCAAUAAAUCAAUCAAUAAAGCA